rnacentral:rRNA from 1 species
UGGGGAAUUUUGGACAAUGGGCGAAAGCCUGAUCCAGCAAUGCCGCGUGUGUGAAGAAGGCCUUCGGGUUGUAAAGCACUUUUGUCCGGAAAGAAAUCCUUGGCUCUAAUACAGUCGGGGGAUGACGGUACCGGAAGAAUAAGCACCGGCUAACUACGUGCCAGCAGCCGCGGUAAUACAUAGGGUGCAAGCGUUAAUCGGAAUUACUGGGCGUAAAGCGUGCGCAGGCGGUUUGCUAAGACCGAUGUGAAAUCCCCGGGCUCAACCUGGGAACUGCAUUGGUGACUGGCAGGCUAGAGUAUGGCAGAGGGGGGUAGAAUUCCACGUGUAGCAGUGAAAUGCGUAGAGAUGUGGAGGAAUACCGAUGGCGAAGGCAGCCCCCUGGGCCAAAUACUGACGCUCAUGCACGAAAGCGUGGGGAGCAAACAGGAUUAGAUACCCUGGUAGUCCACGCCCUAAACGAUGUCAACUAGUUGUUGGGGAUUCAUUUCCUUAGUAACGUAGCUAACGCGUGAAGUUGACCGCCUGGGGGAGUACGGUCGCAAGAUUAAACUUAAAGGAAUUGACGGGGUCAUAGCUGUUUCCU